rnacentral:lncRNA from 1 species
GUUGGGAAGAGAGACUUCGAGCAGCAGAUGGAGAGCGUUGGAAAGAUGGGUCAUCAUCUGAACGUGGUUCCUCUACGUGCUUAUUACUAUUCCAAGGAUGAGAAGCUCCUGGUCUAUGAUUACCUGCAAGUGGGAAGCUUUUCUUCUCUGUUGCAUCAUGGUAUGGAUAUUAAAAUGAGUUAGUCCGUCUGAUAAAAAAAUCAGUUGAUAAAUAUGAUAAACUGACCUUUUGUUCUUGAUGGCGCAGGAAACAGUGCUGUUGCAGACUGGGAAACUAGAGUAAGCAUCUGCCUCGGAGCUGCAAGAGGAAUUGCUCAUAUCCAUUCCGGUGGGAGGCAUGUCCACGGCAACAUCAGAUCUUCGAACGUGUUGCUG